rnacentral:rRNA from 1 species
GUGAGGAAUAUUGGUCAAUGGGCGAGAGCCUGAACCAGCCAAGUAGCGUGCAGGAUGACGGCCCUCCGGGUUGUAAACUGCUUUUAGUUGGGAAUAAAAAAAGGGACGUGUCCCUUCUUGUAUGUACCUUCAGAAAAAGGACCGGCUAAUUCCGUGCCAGCAGCCGCGGUAAUACGGAAGGUCCAGGCGUUAUCCGGAUUUAUUGGGUUUAAAGGGAGCGUAGGCGGAUUGUUAAGUCAGCGGUUAAAGGGUGUGGCUCAACCAUGCAUUGCCGUUGAAACUGGCGAUCUUGAGUGCAGACAGGGAUGCCGGAAUUCGUGGUGUAGCGGUGAAAUGCUUAGAUAUCACGAAGAACUCCGAUCGCGAAGGCAGGUGUCCGGGCUGCAACUGACGCUGAGGCUCGAAAGUGUGGGUAUCAAACAGGAUUAGAAACCCUAGUAGUCC